rnacentral:rRNA from 1 species
AGUGAACGCUGGCGGUAGGCCUAACACAUGCAAGUCGAACGGCAGCACAGUAAGAGCUUGCUCUUACGGGUGGCGAGUGGCGGACGGGUGAGGAAUACAUCGGAAUCUACUUUUUCGUGGGGGAUAACGUAGGGAAACUUACGCUAAUACCGCAUACGGCCUACGGGUUAAAGCAGGGGAUCUUCGGACCUUGCGCGAUUGAAUGAGCCGAUGUCGGAUUAGCUAGUUGGCGGGGUAAAGGCCCACCAAGGCGACGAUCCGUAGCUGGUCUGAGAGGAUGAUCAGCCACACUGGAACUGAGACACGGUCCAGACUCCUACGGGAGGCAGCAGUGGGGAAUAUUGGACAAUGGGCGCAAGCCUGAUCCAGCCAUACCGCGUGGGUGAAGAAGGCCUUCGGGUUGUAAAGCCCUUUUGUUGGGAAAGAAAAGCAGCAGGUUAAUACCCCGCUGUUCUGACGGUACCCAAAGAAUAAGCACCGGCUAACUUCGUG